rnacentral:rRNA from 1 species
GACGCCUACGGGGCGCAGCAGUGGGGAAUAUUGCACAAUGGGGGAAACCCUGAUGCAGCGACGCCGCGUGAGUGAAGAAGUAUCUCGGUACGUAAAGCUCUAUCAGCAGGGAAGAAAAAAAGUCUUUGGCUUUGGACGGUACCUGACUAAGAAGCCCCGGCUAACUACGUGCCAGCAGCCGCGGUAAUACGUAGGGGGCAAGCGUUAUCCGGAUUUACUGGGUGUAAAGGGGGCGCAGACGGCAAUGCAAGCCAGGAGUGAAAGCCCGGGGCCCAACCCCGGGACUGCUCUUGGAGCUGCAUGGC